rfam:Strongyloides venezuelensis genome assembly, scaffold: SVE_scaffold0000009
CCAACGGCCCUCUUUAGGGCCACCAAAUUAUUUAUUCUUUAGUUUU